GGACGAAAGUCUGAUGGAGCAACGCCGCGUGAGUGAAGAAGGUUUUCGGAUCGUAAAACUCUGUUGUAAGGGAAGAACAAGUACGGUAGUAACUGGCCGUACCUUGACGGUACCUUAUUAGAAAGCCACGGCUAACUACGUGCCAGCAGCCGCGGUAAUACGUAGGUGGCAAGCGUUGUCCGGAAUUAUUGGGCGUAAAGCGCGCGCAGGCGGUCCUUUAAGUCUGAUGUGAAAGCCCACGGCUCAACCGUGGAAGGUCAUUGGAAACUGGGGGACUUGAGUGCAGAAGAGGUUAGUGGAAUUCCAAGUGUAGCGGUGAAAUGCGUAGAGAUUUGGAGGAACACCAGUGGCGAAGGCGACUAACUGGUCUGUAACUGACGCUGAGGCGCGAAAGCGUGGGGAGCAAACAGGAUUAGAUACCCUGGUAGUCCACGCCGUAAACGAUGAGUGCUAAGUGUUAGGGGGUNUCCGCCCCUUAGUGCUGCAGUAAACGCAUUAAGCACUCCGCCUGGGGAGUACGGCCGCAAGGCUGAAACUCAAANGAAUUGACGGGGGCCCGCACAAGCGGUGGAGCAUGUGGU
rnacentral:rRNA from 1 species